AGAACUGUAGCUCAGGGGUGGAGCAUCUGCCUUGUGAGCAGGUCCCAGGUUCAAUCUCCAGCAACUCCA